rnacentral:rRNA from 1 species
UACGUAGGGUGCGAGCGUUAAUCGGAAUUACUGGGCGUAAAGCGUGCGCAGGCGGUUUUGUAAGCCAGAUGUGAAAGCCCCGGGCUUAACCUGGGAAUGGCAUUUGGGACUGCAAGGCUUGAGUGCGGCAGAGGAGACUGGAAUUCCUGGUGUAGCAGUGAAAUGCGUAGAUAUGUGGAGGAAUACCGAUGGCGGAAGGCAGCCCCCUGGGAUAACACUGACGCUCAUGCACGAAAGCGUG